AGAGCCCCACGGUUUCGCUGUCCCCGCACACCUCGGCGAGUCCGGUGCCGGCGGCGAUGAUCAGGAGAGCAGCAAUGCAAAUAUGCAAUGGCGAGGGGAACUGGAGGAGGACGGGUACGCGAGGGCACAGGGAGGCACGAUGAAGCCGAUGGACGCGGGGUGGAGUUCAUCCAAGAAAUUAGAGAUGAUUGCUUUAGAGAUCUCAAAUAAUGGGUGGAAGCAUCUAUAUUGUUUGCUUUAGUGUCCUCCUCUAUGUUAAAGACCCUGGCUUUCUCAUGUUUUUUGGUGAUCCGAGACUUUGUAAUAAUUGGCUGUUUACAUCUUUGGAUGUGGAGGCCGGAUAUUGUUUUAUAUCCCUUAUCUAAAAAAAAUCUUUCCUCA